CACUUCAAACGUCGCCUAAGACUACGCACUAUCAGGACAAGAUAAUGAAGGGGGCAUGCUACUAAUAUCAGUGGCAAAGAAUGCACAUUUCCAGCUCACUGGUGUCUGUGAAUUUUCAUUCAUUACAGUUCACUGCCAACAUUCAGUGCUGUGACACAGAUAACUGCAAUACUGGCCAUCCUCCAGGUUACAAUGAUAGCACUCCAACUGGACUGAAGUGCUGUGGUGAUGGAAAUUGCCAGACUACGGUACAAUGCUUUGGAAUUGAAGAUACUUGCAUAUCUGCUUUGUGUAAGUAAAAUCCAAAGUUGGCUUCUCUUAAGGUAGAAUAAGUUUUUUCUUUUAAAAUAGUGAUGAUGAUCCGUGUCUUCUCACAAUCCUAUCAUGUAAAUAUAUGCACUGCCACUUGGCUGUUACGUUUUUGCUUUGACAGACACCUUCCUGUCUGCAGCCUUGUAUAGACGAGGUAAUAGCUUUCAUAUUUCUAUCCACUUAUCGAAGAAUAAAAAAACUCAGAUAAAUUGUUUGAGUGAAAUUCUAUCACAUUUAAGUACACCUAAAGCAGUGGUGGUGCACAGAAUUCAUGGAAUAAUUACAGAGAUGGGGCCCCUCUGUGAAAAAAAAACCCAUCAUAACCCCAAUUUAAUGUUUAUGCAUUUAGGCAUGUUAUACAUUUAUUGUUUGUUUAGAAGCUGUUGUUGAUAUGAAAAAGCUUUUGUCUGAAGAAGUUUGAAGUGUUUUAAGGCACACAUGGUUUUUCACAUGGUUGCUAAAGUGACUCUGCCCAGAGUUUUGCCUCGUAUCUGUUUUUUUUUUGAUUGUUCAGAACUGACCCACCGAUAUCUGUCUAUCCUGAAAAUGCCCCUCAUGCAUAAAAUUAAUAAAACAAUUUUGUCAGACAGAUGCAAACUAAAGAUGCUGGUUACUUCUGUAUGUCGCAUCAUUUCCAUGUAGGGUCAGUGCAAAUUUGUGAAUCCAUGAUGGCUAGGAAGAGUAUCAAAAAACAAAAGACCAGAGCUGUUGGUUGGAGUGCAUUUAUUCCUGUUGGUAUUCUGUAGCAGUGACGUGCGGUGAGGUUCAUGGCUGGUGAGGCACGGACUCUUUCAGAGUCAGAUGUACAAAUAUAUGAACCUAAAAGAGUCGUUUAUUCACUAUUCAAUUGACAGCAUUCACAAUGACUAUUGGUUAUGUUUCACUUCUCAUCAGCAUUCUUUACACACUCAUAGGUAAGGUACAUAUUUGGCUAAGAAAGAACAUUACAUUUAUAGCGGCGAGAUCUGCACCCUCCAUUUGUUCUAAAUUUGCAGUUGCAAUUCCACAAUUCAUACUCUACAAAAAAAAAUGGAUUUCAAUUUUGACCUUAA